AACGUAGGUGGCAAGCGUUAUCCGGAUUUACUGGGCGUAAAGGGUGUGCAGGCGGGCGGUCAAGUGGUGUAUGAAAUAUCCUGCUCAACCAGGAGAGGUUAUGCCAGACUGACCGUCUUGAGUGCGAGAGAGGGGCGUGGAAUUCCGGGUGUAGUGGUGAAAUGCGUAGAGAUCCGGAGGAACCCCAGAGGCGAAGGCGGCGCCCUGGCUCGCAACUGACGCUCUACACGACAGCAUGGGGAGCGAACGGG
rnacentral:rRNA from 1 species